AGGUUUAACUCGAUGCCUGCCACGGGACUUUGAGUUGAGCAGCCCCAGAUCGGCGCGGCUUCUGUCAAACGCCAUCAAGAACUGCUGUGGUAUUACUCAUCAGGAAACAUAACUGGACAAAGGCAACAGAGGCCCACAAGUGUCUGUGUCGAAGUAGACGGGAAGGAAACAGCCUUGGAGUUGCCAUGGCAAGCUUUCCACAUGAACCCGCAGCUGAAAGGAGAGACAGCGUUUCAACCAAGCCCAUUUUGCCUGAAUAUGAUAUUUACUAAUUUGCAGUAAAAAAGUGCC